AGCUUUGUGCAGUGGCAAUAUCGUAGCCAAUGAGGUUUAUCCAAGGGGCGAUUAUUGCUAAUUAAAAGCAACUGUGAACAUAAUUCUUAAUUUUAUCACUAAGUUUCAAUGAGAUGGGAUCCCAAUUGUUGAUUCAUUGUGCUAGU
ensembl:snRNA U4 U4 spliceosomal RNA